UACGUAGGGUGCAAGCGUUAAUCGGAAUUACUGGGCGUAAAGCGUGCGCAGGCGGUUUUGUAAGUCUGUCGUGAAAGCCCCGGGCUCAACCUGGGAAUUGCGAUGGAGACUGCAAGGCUUGAAUCUGGCAGAGGGGGGUAGAAUUCCGCGUGUAGCAGUGAAAUGCGUAGAGAUGUGGAGGAACACCGAUGGCGAAGGCAG
rnacentral:rRNA from 1 species